CAGCAGUGGGGAAUAUUGCACAAUGGGGGAAACCCUGAUGCAGCCAUGCCGCGUGUGUGAAGAAGGCCUUCGGGUUGUAAAGCACUUUCAGUAGGGAGGAAGGUAGUGUAGUUAACACCUGCAUUAUUUGACGUUACCUACAGAAGAAGCACCGGCUAACUCCGUGCCAGCAGCCGCGGUAAUACGGAGGGUGCGAGCGUUAAUCGGAAUUACUGGGCGUAAAGCGCAUGCAGGCGGCCUGUUAAGUCAGAUGUGAAAGCCCCGGGGCUUAACCUCGGAAUUGCAUUUGAAACUGGCAGGCUAGAGUCUUGUAGAGGGGGUAGAAUUUCAGGUGUAGCGGUGAAAUGCGUAGAGAUCUGAAGGAAUACCAGUGGCGAAGGCGGCCCCCUGGACAAAGACUGACGCUCAGAUGCGAAAGCGUGGGAGCAAACAGGAUUAGAUACCCUGGUGG
rnacentral:rRNA from 1 species